UAACGAAGAUUCAGUUACAUUCGAUAACGAUGUGGUUGAAAUAGAUACAAUGGAGGAUCAUUCUAUUCAUACGAAUCCAAUGACAACAAAAAAGGUCCAGUUUGGACCCAUUUUGAUGAACUUCCUUCUACAGAUCCAAAUGACACAAGAAUAUGAACAAAAUGCAAGUUUUAUGAUCAUAAAUAUAUAGCUAACAGUUCACAUGGAACUAGAAAUCUACAGAAGCAUAUGAAAGUUUGUGGGGGGAAAACUAAUCAUGAUAUUCAACAAAUGCUCCUAUCUAGAGAUCAAGAAACUCUGUCAUGCUCCUACAACUUCAAACUCCACAGUUGUUCAGCCCCAAGAAGGCUCAGAUUGGAAAAAGGAUUUUCUAGCAUUUGAUGAAGUCGAUCCUGAUGCACAAAAGACUCAAUUGGAACUUUAUUUGGAUGAACCCAAGUAUUUGAAGAAGAAAACGACAUUUGACAUCCUUUUAUUUUGGAAAGGAAAUGAAUUCCGUUAUCCUGAAGUAGCUGUUAUGGCUCGUAAUAUUUUGAGUAUUCCAUUUCUUCUGUUGCUUUAUAAUCCACUUUUAGUAUUGGUGGACGUGUGAUUGAUCAGCAUAGGAGUUCACUCAAGCCUGAUAUUGUUGAGGCAUUGGUUUGCACUAGAGAUUGAUUAUAUAGAGAGCAAGGUAUUGGAGCUGAAUGACAAAGAUGUGCAUGUCAAACUAACCUGCGUUGGACCCAAUCUGAUGGGCAAUGAGAAUAUUUGUAGGUCAUUCAAGGAAUCAAGAGUGAACAAUUAUGAUGUAGUUUUUUGUAUUUGUAAAUUUGUA